ACCCUUAAUCUGAUUUUGCCAAUCAAAUGCUUUUGUUUAAAGCAAAGUUAGACAUUUUGGGAAACGCUUAUUUGCUCUCAGGCGACGUGUGAGAGGAGAAUAUUAACACACGAGCAACAAGAGCGGUAGCUAUCGAUCCUCUCCGCUACUCUGAUCUUUUUUCCACCAGAAAGUGAAUACACGCACUGUAUUUCCAAAAAUGUAAAAACUCUUCUUUUAAGCGGAGAAAGAUACGGCGGUUAUGCUAGUUAACCAAAGCAAGUUUGGAAAUUGUGGACAGAAGGUAAAAGCAGCAGACAACUGACAGAAAGAUAUUUGAAAAAGAGCAGGUCAACGUUGGACUCAUGUUUUUUUUGUUUGUUUUUUUAAGGGCUUCAUCUUUCAGGCAGAAAUGAGUGGGAUAAGUGUUUGUUUUGCAGGGGUUUCAACAUCUGUCUGUUUUAUUUUUUACAUGGGAGAAGACCACAGUUUGCCUUUUGUGUCUAAAAAUGCAUCAUGCUUUUUACUUUGAUCACUUUGGAGCAGUUUUUCUUUGCUGUACAGAGUAGAGUCGGGAGAAACAAGUUGUCAAGUGCCAUAGACCUUGAACUGUUUGACUAGGGGAGGACCUUUGACCCCAGAACCCAAGCAAUAUUCACAUGUUCACAUCCUUUUGCAGCAUAAUGGCUUAAAAGGAAUAUUGUUAAGCCUUCAUUUUCAUUCA